AUUGAACGCUGGCGGCAUGCCUUACACAUGCAAGUCGAACGGUAACAGGUCUUCGGAUGCUGACGAGUGGCGAACGGGUGAGUAAUACAUCGGAACGUGCCCGAUCGUGGGGGAUAACGCAGCGAAAGCUGUGCUAAUACCGCAUACGAUCUACGGAUGAAAGCGGGGGAUCGCAAGACCUCGCGCGGACGGAGCGGCCGAUGGCAGAUUAGGUAGUUGGUGGGAUAAAAGCUUACCAAGCCGACGAUCUGUAGCUGGUCUGAGAGGACGACCAGCCACACUGGGACUGAGACACGGCCCAGACUCCUACGGGAGGCAGCAGUGGGGAAUUUUGGACAAUGGGCGCAAGCCUGAUCCAGCCAUGCCGCGUGCAGGAUGAAGGCCUUCGGGUUGUAAACUGCUUUGUACGGAACGAAAAAGACUCUCUCUAAUACAGGGGUGAAGUGACGGUACCGUAAGAAUAAGACACCGGCGUAACUACGUGCCAGCAGCCGCGGUAA
rnacentral:rRNA from 1 species